rnacentral:rRNA from 1 species
AUUGAACGCUGGCGGCAGGCUUAACACAUGCAAGUCGAGCGGGGUGAUGGUGCUUGCACUAUCACUUAGCGGCGGACGGGUGAGUAAUGCUUAGGAAUCUGCCUAUUAGUGGGGGACAACAUCUCGAAAGGGAUGCUAAUACCGCAUACGUCCUACGGGAGAAAGCAGGGGAUCACUUGUGACCUUGCGCUAAUAGAUGAGCCUACGUCGGAUUAGCUAGUUGGUGGGGUAAAGGCCUACCAAGGCGACGAUCUGUAGCGGGGCUGAGAGGAGGGUCGGCCACACUGGGACUGAGAGACGGCCCAGACUCCUACGGGAGGCAGCAGUGGGGAAUAUUGGACAAUGGGGGGAACCCUGAUCCAGCCAUGCCGCGUGUGUGAAGAAGGCCUUAUGGUUGUAAAGCACUUUAAGCGAGGAGGAGGCUCUUUUGGUUAAUACCCAAGAUGAGUGGACGUUACUCGCAGAAUAAGCACCGGCUAACUCUGUGCCAGCCGCCGCAGUAA